rnacentral:tRNA from 1 species
UCCUGGUGGCUCAGAGGUUAAAGCACCUGCCUGCAAUGCGGGAGACCUGGGUUCGAUCCCUGGGUCGGGAA